UGUGAGGUAAGAGGCGCGUGAGGCUCCUGUGCCGGGGGCGGUGCUGCUCCCGAGUCGGCGCGCGGCGGGGACGCGAGUCGAGUUUCUCUCCUGUCACAAUGGCAUGAUCUCGGCUCACUGCGACCUCUGCUUCCUGGGUUCAAGGAUUCUCCUGCCUCAGCCUCCCAAGUAGCUGGGAUUACAGACAUAAGCGUCUUGCUAUUUGCCCAAGCUGGUCUUGAACGCCUGAUCUCAAGUGAUCCACCCACCUUGGCCCUUCAUGUGGGAAAUUAGAAACCAAAAUCCCCUGUGAAUCCAGCGCACUGGAGGUUCAUUCUCCACACCCAAGGUGAGGCAGCCACAGGGCCAAGCUGCGGUCUUGGAACAGAAAUGUAGCAUCAGGAAAGCAACUAGAACACCCGCCACACUGAUAAUAACCUCCGUAGUACUAAUAACACUGCAUCUGUGAUGCUAGUGUUAGCACCCGUUGUAUACAGAGAGGCACACCCGUCGGGGUAACUCGGAAGCUGCCGUCCACAUCCAACCCCGGGAACAUGGAUGUGUCCCUCAGUGCGCACAUAACGCUUGGAACGUGGAGGUGACAUCGUCACCUAAUGCUACACCCGUCACACUCAUAUAAUCCCCAGAACACGCAUGUGUCCCUCAGAGCACACACGUAACCCCUGGAAUGCCCGUGACACAGUCAGACUCACGCCACACCCGUCACACUCAUAUAACCCCCGGAACACGCAUGUGUCCCUCAGAGCGUACAUACCACCCGGGAUGCAGACAUGGCCUUUGCAGCCCACACGAGAGGGUCUGCAGCUCUGAGGAUGGAACCUUCCGGCUCUCACUGGGGCGCUGAGUUGACAGCCUCUGCUGGCCUGGGUUUGGGCUGCAUUUGGCCUCUGUCAUGAAACUUCAUGUUGUUGUCUCUGCCUUACUGACGUGGUAUUGCCACAGUUGUUUUAAAAAGUAGUUUACUUCCCAAUAAUGUCAUACUUCUGGGAAACUUGCAACAGCACUUAGUAUGCCUUCUCCUUUAUCUCCAAUUCCCCAGCUGUUAUUGCUGUGCCAGAUUUGCAGCUUCACAAAAAAUACCCCCGUGUGUUUCACCAAAAGCAGGAAUACUUCUCCAGGUGAUCCCCAAAUAACCCCCAAUUUAGAAAAUACACAGUUUCUAUGUGAAAAUCCAGUCUACAGACCUAUUUCACUUCACUCCCUGCCCUAGGUGGGAGAAAAAUGUCUAUUUCCAUGCGGGCCCAAUUUUCCUUUUCGGGAACUGUUCCUGAGACUCAGUUUUCUGUUUUUUUUGUGUGUGUGUGUGUGUUUUUUGACGGAGUCUCCCUCUGUCACCCAGGCUGGAGUGCAAUGGCGCCAUCUCUGCUCAUUGCAACCUCUGCCUCCCAUGUUCAAGAUAUUCUUCUGCGUCAGCUUCCCGAUUAGCUGUAAUUACAAGCACCUACCACCACACCCAGCUAAUUUUCUGUAUUUUUAGUAGAGAUGGGGUUUCACCAUGUUGGCCAGGCUAGUCUUGAACUCCUGACCUCAGGUGAUCCAUUCGCUUCAGCAUCCCAGAGUGCUGGGAUUACAGGCGUGAGCCACUGCAUCCGGCCGACUCUCAGUUUUCAUAGCCUCAACAGAUGUAAAGAGCAGAGAUGACUCCAAGCUGGGUCUGCCCAGCGUUUCCUCCUAAACAUGUGCAGAUCCUGUGUUCCUGGCAGGAACAUCCUGGCCUGGUGCUGCGCUCUCCUCACUGCAGCCCACUUGGAGGAGCACCCAUCCAUCCCACCACCACUGGCGAUCUCACUUGGAAAUGGCAAAUAUUCAUUUACAAUCACAAAUUUCAUCCUGUCAAGCUCCGCAUUUCACUUUGUGAAUGGUUUUCCCUGGCCUUAGAACCAUGGACUCCAGACCCCGAGUUCUCCUGCCUGCUGUCCUCUCCCAUCCAGUCUGCUACAGCUGCCUGCAGUCCCACUCAUGGGGACAUGGACUCCCAGGUGUCUUGGGGAUUUUAUGUGGGUUCCCCGAACCCAUUCACCCAGUGCUGACCGUACUUUUUUAAGGCUUUUUCUAGAUAAGUCCUUCAAGUCACAGCAGUUAUGAUAUCUAAAAGUAGAAAAGUUAAAGUUGAUUUUCUAAAGACAAAAAAAUAAUUCAUUAUUAGAUCGUCUGUGAGAAGACCCUCAAUUUUUUAAUUUUUUUUUUGAGGAUAGAGUCUCCCUAUGUUACCCAGGCUGGAGUGCAGUGGCAUGACCUUGGCUCAGCACAGUCUCCACCUCUCAGGUUCAAGCAAUUCUCCUGUCUCAGUCUCCUGAGUAGCUGGGACUACAGGCACCUGCCACCAUGGCUGGCUAUUUUUUGCAGUUUUAGUGGAGAUGGGGUUUCACCAUGUUUGCCAGGCUGGUCUUGAUCCCCUGACCUCCAGUGAUCUGCCUGCCUUGGCCUCCCAAAGUGCUGGGAUUACAGGUGUGAGCCACCGUGCCCAGCUGCCCUCAAUUUAUAAAUCAAGGAAAUACUAGUUCUCUGGAACCAAAGUUCAUGUUUGAAAUAAUUAGGAAAGAAAAAUAAAAUCUCAUUGCUGAAAGAAAGGCAAAUAGCACAAUUGAUUAUUGAAAUUGCAGAAGAGGGCUGGGUGCAGUGGCUCACUCCUGUAAUCCCAGUACUUCGGGAGGCUGAGGCAGGCAGAUCACCUGAGGUCAGGAGUUUGAGACCAGCCUGGAUAAGAUGGUGAAAUCCCAUCUGUACUAAAAAUACAAAAAUUAGCCUGGUGUGGUGGCACGCACCUGUAGUCCCAGCUGCUCGGGAGGCUGAGGCAGGAGAAUCGCUUGAACCCAGGAGAUGGAGGCUGCAUUGAGCCGAGAUCGUGCUACUGCACUCCAGCCUGUGUGACAGAGUGAGACUCCGUGUAUAAAAAAAAAAAAAAAAAUUUUUUCAGAAGAAUUUACUGGACAGACUGUUACCUUGCUGUAUUCUCUAGCCCUGUGUUAGCAGUUACAAGGUAUUUUAGGUUUAAACACUUAUAUUUUAGUCAUUCGGUAUAGUUAACUACAAAAAAGUCCUGUCCACAUCAUGACAACCUAUAUAAAAUUUGGAAACCUCUUCAUCUAUGCAAUGGAAAAUUGGUAAAGUAAGUGUAGAUAUUUAAGUUGAUGAAUUAUUAAUAUUUAGGUACUGAAAUGAGUGAGGGAAUGUAAUUAUGUCAUAGUUCUGGCAUGGGACUUGGGGGGGCUCCCUCUGUUGCCUCUUGCUGGAUGACAAAUUCGUGACCUGUGGAGACUGAAGGAUAAACUGUCACCUUCAUCGGAAACCCUAGUCCAGAAGGAAAGUCCUCAUUUCAGGAUAUACCACUUUGUCCCAUGCAUUUCCUUUUUCUUGUUCUGUUUUUUGGAGACAAGUCUUGCUCUUUCGCCCAGGCUGGAGUGAAGUGGCCUGAUAUCGGCUCACUGCAACCUCCAUCGCCCAGGUUCAGGCAAUUUUCCUUCCUCAGCCUCCUGAGUAGCUGGGAUUACAGGUCUGCACCACCACACUGGCUAAUUUUUUUUUUUCCUUUUAGGCGAAGUUUCACUUUUGUUGUUAAGGCUAGAGUAUGAUGGAGCGAUCUCAGCUCACCACAACCUCUGCUUCCCAGGUUCAAGUGAUUCUCCUGCCUAGGCCUCCUGAGUAGCUGAGAUUACAGGCAUGUGCCACCAUGCCCAGCCAAUUUUGUAUUUUUAGUAGAGAUGGGGUUUGUCCACGUUGGUCAGGCUAGUCUCGAACUCCCAACCUCAGGUGAUCCGCCUGCCUCAGCCACCCAAAGUGCUGGGAUUACAGGUGUGAGCCACAGAGCCUGGCCCUAAUUGUUUUAUUAUUUCCUAGAGAAAAGGUUUCACCAUGUUGGCCAGGCUCGUCUCCAGCUCCUGACCUCAAGUGAUCCAUCUGCCUCAGCCACCCACAGUGCUGGGAUUACAGGCGUGAGCCAUCUUACCUGGCCCUUUUUAUUUUUAUUUUUAUUUUUGAGACAGGGUGUUGCACUGUUGCCCAGUCUGGAAUGUAAUAGUGCGAUCUCAGCUUACUGCAACCUCCACAUUAUGGGGUCAAGCAGUCCUUCUUCCUCAGCCUCCCAAGUAGCUGGGACUGCAGCUGUGUGUCUCCGCCUGUUUUCUUUGUCGGGUUUUCCUGCUACUGCCUUAGGUCCCCGACUUGCCCCGCUUAGGCUUGUGAGACCUCCUCACUGUUGGUUGAGGUACAUGUGUGGUGAUCAAUCCAAAUCCACUCUGGCACCAGCCUCCUUCCUGCCAUCCCAGGCAGGCUGACAGCAGUCACGUUUGUACCUACUGUGCCUGCCUAUCUCUUUUGAGUGUCCUUCCCUGCCCUAAUCUGUACUUAUGGUGCCAGGUUUCUCUUAAGAAUGUCCCCUUUGUCCUUAUCAGCAUGUAGCUAGCAAUAUUCUGACAUUUUUAUUGCAGAGUGAAUGAUGAUUGGGGCAUCUUAAGAGGAGUUCUAGGGUGUUUCUUUCUGCAUAGGUACCUCUUGUCCCUUCUACCCACAACUGACAAGUGCCUAUCCACUCCAGCACUAGAGAUGCUACUAAUAUGUGAAUUUUUGGUGGUCCCUCCAGGUGAGCCUUCCCAGACUUUCUCUUUUCCAGGAGCUCCCCCUCCUGUUCAUGUAUAGCUAUCUAUAUAAUCUAACAGAGCCCACUAUCCUGUGCCUUUCCCAAAAAUAGUGAGGGAACAAUUAAUUGGAAACCAUAAGAAAUGAUAUGCAUGUAGAUGAAAACUUUACAACUUACACAAAUAAUCACUCAAAAUCAUCCUUACACUAAAAAUGCAAAACUAUACAAUUUCUAGAAGAAACUAUAGAAGAAUAGCUCUGUGCCUUUGGGUUUGGUAAUGAAUUUUAACAAAUGACACAAAAGGCAGAUAUACACAGAAGAAAUGACGAUAUGGAUUUCUUAAUAUUUAAAGUUUAUACUCUGGAAAAGACCAAGGUAAGAGAAAAAAAAGACACGCCACAUAUUAAAGAAAAUAUUUGCAAAAUACAGAUCUGAGAAAGAAUUUGUAUUCAAAAUAUAUUAAAAAGUUCUUAAAACUAAACAAUAAGUUAAACAGUCCAAUUAAAAAUGCACACAGAUCUGAACAGACACCUCACCAAAGAAGAUCUACAGAUGGCAAGUAAACAUACAAAAAGAUGCUCAACAUACUAGAGAACUGAAAACCACAAUGAGAUAGCACAGCUGGUCUAUAUCUCUUAGAACUGCUAAACUCUUUAAGAAAUGACAAAUUGCUAGAGGAAAAACAAGAACUCUUUUCUUGCAGGUGGAAUACACUGUAUAAGAUCAAAAUAUGCCACCCCAAAAUAUAAUGGUAGGAAACCAGAAUAUGCCACCGCAAAAUAUGUCCCUUUGGCUUAAGAAUUAUUCCAAGCUGAUUAUUUUGGGAAAAAAAAUGCUAACAAGGGAAGUUCUGAAAACAGAGUAGAAGUUACCCUUGUGUAAAGAAAAUUUACAUCUAUAAAGGAAAUCCCCAUUUAAAAGCUACCUCUCUCGACACCAAGAAGAGAAGGAUAACUAAAUCACUACAGAGUCUUAUCAAUGGAGAACGUGUGGACUUCAGUCUGUAUAACAUCCUUACCCUUGUCUACUGUGCUUUUGCUAGUUAACUCCCCACUAAUGCACCUCAAAUCUUCUAUCUUUAAGUUGAAGAUAGCAUUUAUGCUUGAAUUGAAAGCCACCUGUUGGAGAUUUACUCAUUUACUCAGAUUUACUGAGUAUCUCCCAUGUAUCCAUAAGGUAUACAUGUUUUUAAACUUUUCUGUUUUUCUCAUUUUAAUCUGUUAGUUUUUACAGAGGGUCCCAUCUAAGAAUUCCAAAAACAAAGAAAAUUAUUCUUCCUCACCUAUUACAAGUUGGGCAUUUUUUUCCAAAGCUACACAAGUCUCACCUUACAAUCCAAAAAUCACAUUCCUAAGUAUUUUGACAGCUACUUUGAUGUUAUUUCCAAACAAAAGCUGCCAUGCAAUUAUUUACAGAAGCCCUAUUCCAUAAUGACCAAAGGAAAAAAAUGUAAUCAGAAAGUCUUACAAUAGAUGACUGUGUGGGAAUCCACUCAGACAUCAAAAGUUGUUAUAAAGAUUAUUUAAAUGAAAACAUUUGAGAUACUGAAGAUAAAGGAAGAAAUCUUACCAGAACUUACUUUAUCCAAUUAAAGCAGAGCUCCCAGAAAAAUACAGCUGCCAUUAACCCCAUCCAAGGAGUUUCUUGCAAAUUCGGCUGCCAUGAAGACAGCGUACUCUUUCCCAUUAUCACUGAUAAAUGAAAAUGAAAUCCUAAGCUCCCAACUGACUGAACAGACCCACUCUUGGCUGAGGGGAGCCCAGAGUAACUUUCAAAACUGAGUUCUCAGCUUGGCCAGCAUGGGAUGAUGGGAGUCAGAUACACCUUGUUGUACUCUCUCCUUUGCUAACCAUGAUGAGGCUUUCUUCCAUAAGAAUUUAACAGAAACCAACCCUUUAAAAAGACUCCACCACUGAUAUCAACCAACUGCCUGAAGCCACCUCUCCUUUCUUGCCUGAUAAGAGACCACCCAUGACGGAGACGUUCUGGCCAGCGUACAGAGGACGCACGGAUUGAGUUUUCAUGUCCUCUGCUUCACCUUUUAAUGUUAGGGGGCUGAAAACUCCAUGCUGGGAUCAUGCUAACACUGCCAAUUUUUGUACAUGGGACCCAUGAAGGAGCAAGACACUCAAUUGCGCAUGCACGCAUUUCUCCUUUCAUAAAUAUUCAUGACUCCUCCUAGAGCUUAUUAAAUAUGUGUAUUUGGCCAUGCCACUCAGUAUAAAUUACUGUUUCCAUUAACUCACAUUUGAAAGUGUCUGUUUCUGGCUUCUGGCUGGACGCUAUACGUCCUAGCCUGUCAGAAGAACUACCCUGCAGGCUGUAACCCUUUAUAGGAAAUAAAUCUCUCAUUGGAUGCAGUGGCUCAUGCCUGUACUCCCAGCACUUUGGGAUGCCGAGGUGGGUGGAUCAUCUAACAUCAGGAGUUCGAGACCAGCCUGGCCAACAUGGUGAAACCCUGUCUCUACUAAAAGUAUAAAAAUUUAGCUGGGCAUGGUGGUAUGCAUCUAUAAUCUCAGCUAAUUGGGAGGCUGAGGCAGGAGAGUCGCUUUAACCUGGGAGGUGGAGGUUGCGGUGAGCCAAGAUCAUGCCAUUGCACUCCAGCCUGGGCAACAAGAGUAAAACUCCGUCUCAAAAAAAAAGAAUAAACAUAAAAAUAAAGAAAUCUUUCGUUUCCAAAUAUAUGAAAUUCAUCGCUCUUCAGUUGACAGCAUUAAAAUGUUCAAAAAGACCUUCCAUACUAUCCCACAGAAGCCCUAGAAAUUGUCAUUUUGUUACUCAUUUUGGAUGCCUGAGAACUUGUAAUCAAAUGAGUAGAAAUGUUGGUACCCCAUCUGUGGCUGUCAUCCUCCCAGUUCUCAGUUUAUAUAAGCCUAAAUCUGAAAAGGUCUCAUCGCAUAAGGACCCUUGUCUCUUUUUCUGUUGCCUUUAUCCACUGGCUCUGGCAACAGGGGUCUUUCUUUCUCCUUGGCUAUCUUUGGAUAUAGGGGCUCCAUCUUCUGUGACACCUUAGGGAAUACCUUUUGCAUGCAUGGCUAAGUCAUUAAAAAGCCUAAAGUUUGAGUAACAUUUUGAGUGAGUACUCUCUGAAGCUGGGUUGGAAUCUCAGUCUUCUUUGUCUAGAAGGUAACUCUCAGGCUAGAAGUUUCUUAUCCUAGCUUUCGUUUUGAGGCCUCUCUGUUCUCCUCUUGGGUUGGAACUUAUUCCUGGAUUUUGUUUCAUGGUGUCUCUUCCCCUUCCAUCAGAUCUUGAUCUUGCUCCUUUCAUGGGAACUUCUCAGUUGACUAAAAUCUCCCUUCCCAAACCUCCGCUGACUAUGUGUUCCACCAAUAAGGAACUAAUCCUGUCUACUUCUUUUCCUGUUUGCAUGACUUUACUAAGAAUUAUUUAGAACUUUAAUGGCUCCUUUGAGAAAACUUUUAUCUCUCAAAUUGCCUCCGUUUAGAUGUUUCCUUUCCCAGUUGAGUCUCUCAACUACCUAUAAUCACUGAAACUUUAGGCACCCCCCUCCAUGCCUUGGAGGCUCUCAACGUGCUCAAGAAUCUACAAAAGCAAACAAUUGAGCCUGAAAAAUAAAAUAGAAAAAUAAUUUUAAUUCUCAGCCUUCAUAAGAUUGUAUGUCAAGACAAAAGAAAAUCUUAAAAAUCUCCAAAAAUAUUGGUGAGAAAAAAGCUUUAGCCCUCAUAUAAAGAAGAUGAAAACUUGUUCCAUUUUCCAGAAACAGUUAUAAUACAAAUAUAAAAUGGGGCAAAGGCAAAAACUAACUCUUCCAUAUAAACUAGUGAAUUUUGUGUUAUUGUAAUCACAUUAGGGUUCUCCAGAAAGGCAGAAUCAAUAGGAUAUAUGUAGAUAGAUAGAUGAGAGAAGACUCAUUAGGGGAAUUGAUUGACAUAAUUAUGGAGGCUGAGAAGUUCCACGAUAGGCUCUCUCCAAGUUGGAGAACAGGGAAAGCUGGUAGCAUGGCUCAGUCCAUGUCCAAAGGACUCAGAAUCAGGGAAGCCAGUGGUGUAACUAAAGCUCCAACGUCAAGGGCAGGGGAGGAAGGAUAUUUCAGUUUCAGAAAGAGAUAAUUCACCUUUCCUCUUCCUUUUUGUUCCAUCUGGGCUCUCAAUCAGUUGGAUGGUGCCUGUAUUAGUCCACUUUUAUACUGCUAUGAAAAAAUACCUGAGUCUGAGCAAUUUAUAAAGAACAAAGAGGUUUAGGCUGGGCACAGUGGCUCAGGCCUGUAAUCCCAGCACUUUGGGAGGCUAAGGUGGGUGGAUCAUGAGGUCAGGAGAUUGAGACCAUCCUGGAUAACACAGUGAAACCCCGCCUCUGCAAAAAAUACAAAAAAUUAGCCAGGGGUGGUGGCAGGCACCUGUAGUCCCAGCUACUCAGGAGGCUGAGGCAGGAGAAUGGCGUGAACCGAGGAGGCAGAGCUUGCAGUGAGCCGAGAUCACGCCACUGCAUUCCAGCCUGGGUGACAGAGCCAGACUCCAUCUCAAAAAAAAAAAAAAGAACAAAGAGGUUUAAUGGUCUGGCAGUUCCAUAUGGCUGGAGGGGCCUGACAAUCAUGGCAAAAGAGGAAGCGAAGAGUCCUUCACAUGGCAGCUGUAAGGAGAAGUGCUGAGCAAAAGGGGAAAAGCCCCUUGUAGAACCAUCAGAGCAUGAGAACUCACUCACUAUCAUGAGAACAGCAUGGCAGUAACCACCACCAUGAUUCAAUUACCUACCACAGGGUCCAUCCCUCAACAUGUAGGGAUUAUAGGAACUACAAUUCAAGAUGAGAUUUGGGUGGGGACACAGCCAAACCAUAUCAGUGCCUAUCCACAUUGGGUCAGGGUGGAUCUUCCUUAUCUCAGUGUCUUGCAGAAACACCCUCACACUUAUGCCCAGAAAUUGUGCUUUUCCAGCUAUGUUAGUAUCUAUUAAUCAAGCAGAUGUCUAAAAUUAACCAUCAGAAUAUGUAUGCCUGAUUCAUGGCUAAUAUUUCAGGAUGAAAGCUAUGAGACCUCUAUUUGUGUUUGUAUGUAUAUUAAUGUAUGUUAUGUAUAUGUAAUUUUUCUUCACUCCGGAGAGCAUGGCAAAAUUCACUUAUAAAAUCUUCUAAAAGUGCUCUAUUCUAACUUGGCUUGGAAAAAAAACAAGCAUUUAUAAAUAAAUAUUCCCCAAACUCCAAUAAAUAUAGGAACUGUUCCAAAUGUUUUUCAAGUUAAUACAAUUUCGAUAAAACUUGGUUAAAUAAGAGUAAUUUUAUAUCUUUGGUGUAAUAAAACAACUAUGUCUUCAGAGUUAUCACUAUUAAAUAUAAAACAAAUUUCUAUUCUGCUUGAGUUCUACUCAAAUAAGCUAAUAUUAUACUUACUAGAUCCUUAAAAUCUUAAAUCUUAUAGAUUUGAUUCUAAUUGUCAUUCUUAUUAAAAGCAUUAUUUCAAUAAUAAUUUUUUACAGUAAAUCUGCCUAAUAAUAGUUUCCAAAAUACUUUUGGUAAUUUUUAACCUUAAAGUUAAGCUAAGUAAAAGAUUUGCAUUCAAUAUCUAGAUCAUUUAUAAAUAAGAUACGAUACUAAAACAUUAAUUACUGAACAUAAGUAAUUCAAGUUUAUAUACUUCGGCUUCUUGUUUUUACAGAGAGACUAAAGAUAUUUUGGCCCUUUAAUAAACGUAUUUUUGUCUACCACACUGAGAAAUUGUACAAUGAGGAAACACAUCCCUCUAGAUGUUGGGAGAUGGUAUACUCAUACAUUUUCUAAUCUACUAUAGAAUGUUAAUGUAUGACAGUUUAAAAUUGUCUUCUUCCUAGUUUCUCUGGAAAAUAGAGAUUACUAAGUAUUAAAAACUAGAAGCAACUCUAUGAAAAGUAUGCAAAAAGCAGGGCAUGUUUUGCAGGUAAAGUAGGAUGUGUUUUUUAUAAGAAAAACCAUACAAAAUAUAAAAUAAAAAGAGAUAUCUAACCUUCCCUGGGUUAUAUUUGUAUGGGUAAAAUGUUAUGUUUUCAGAAAUUGUAUAAAAUUACUGGAAAUUUGUCAAUAUCCUCCUUAUCCAUGCUAUGUGCCGGUAUACUGUUUUGAGUCAUAAUUUCAAUUAUUAUUUUAAACGUUGUAUGCCACCAAAAAAAUCCAAUAUCCUUGUCAGUUGUGGUAUAAUGAACUCUCAUCUGACCUUUCAUCACAGCCAUUUCAUAUUCUUUGGCAUUCAGAUACUAUUUCCCCCUGAUACUUUCCUGAAAGCUCCUGCAAUCAGCUACAGGUCAGAAUGUUUGUCUCCAACACAGGACUCACUCUGAGACUCACGGAAAAGCCUAUGACAGGUACUCUGGUUAUAGGCUUCUGAUGAUAUUGCUUAAAUAACUUUAAGACCAUACACUUGACUCAGUGAAGAUCUCCAGAAGUCUGGUUGAGAAAUCGAUGGGUUCGUGACACUACUAACCCAAGAUCCAGCAAGACUGGAAUUGAUUACAUGGCACUGAAUGAAGUGAUGAAAAUUGAUUAUAAUUUUAUAGCUUUUUUGGAGCACUGCUGGUUCUUUAAUGUUCUAGUUUCUGGAUUUAAGAAAUCUCUUUCUCUUAAGCUAACUAUAACUCACAAAAAUUUAGUAGAUUAUAGUUUUGUAAACAGAAAUGAAGCAUUUAUCUUUUUUUCCCUGCCUGAUUUCUCCAGAAUUUUGAAAAUCUUACUGAAUACUCUUAUUUUCAUGACAAUAUAGUUGUUAGCAAAAGUCCAAUAAGCAUCUGUUCACCUUAUAGCAAGACAUAAUUGGAAACUUUGGUUAUAUUAUCAAGGCUUUUACUGGAAUAUCAUAUUUAGGAAUAGUAUACCUGAGAUCAGUUAUGACCAGCAAUUUUAAGGAACUAAGACUGACUUUUAUGAAGCCAAUGCUUACAAAGCACUUUGAGAAAGCCAGCCUGGUACCUACAUUACAGGGUUCACAGCCUUACAGGUUAGUAAAGAAGGUAAUUUCCUGCUAGGCCCAGGAAUUUGGGGAUAUUUUGGGGGCGUCAAGAAGAGAGGAAUUCACAUAAAGCUACAAUGACUGCAGCUGAAAUUUGAAAGUAUGUUCUUGGCUUGGCUUUUAGCCUCAAUAAGGCCUUUAAAAGUCCAAUCUAAGAUUCUGUAUGAAAACUUCCAGCGAAGAAGCUUGAAAGCACCUACGUGGUCAGCUCCUGUUCUUGCUGCACUUACAUAAAUAUUCAGGCAAAAUCUAACGAAACUAGACUUAUUUUUAAAACAAGAAUAAUCUUACAUUGAUUAUCUAUGAUCAAAAAUGAUGGGUACUACAGAGAGGAAUUUUAUGUUUCAAUGGAAAACUAUAACUCAGCCGCGCAUGGUGGCAUAUGCCUAUAAUUCCAGCACUUUUGGAGGCCAGAGUUCAAGACCAGCCUGGGCCACAUGGCAAAACCCCACCUCUACUAAAACCGCAAAAAUUAGCUGGGCAUGAUGGCAUGUUCCUGUAGUCCCAGCGAAUCAGGAGGCUGAGGAGGGAGGUUCGCUUCCACCCAGGAGGUAGAGGUUGCAGUGAGCUGGGAUUGCACCAUUGCACUCCAGCCUGGGCGACAGAGCCAGACUCUGUCUCAAAAAAAUUGCUUUUAAAAAGGAAAACUAUAGCCCUUGUGGGUUAUCAGAUUCUAGUCUUGUUUCUCAUUUUGGGCUAUUUUCACCUCUUUGUAAACUGGAUCCUGCCAUCUGAUGAAUUUUGUCCCACAAUGAUACUUGUGGAAUAAGAAGCCAAGUAUUGCCUCUCCUACUAAUGUAUCUAUUGUCAGUUAAUUUGAAGGUCUCCAAUGCUGGAACAAAGUUAGAAGAGGAAGGUUUUGCUCCCUAAAAUGCAUAACCAAAUUGUGGUACAUUCAUGCAAUGGAAUACUAUUUAGCCAUAGAAAGGAACAAGCUAUCAACUCACACAAAGACAUGAGUGAAUCUUGCAUGCACAUUACUGAGUGGAAGAAGACAGUCUGAGGAGAAUACACAUAGUGUGACCUCAUUUAAUGAGAUUCUGGAGAAGGCAAAUUGCACAGAUGGGAAAGCCAUUGGCUGCAUGGGGUGGGGGUUUGAAGCAUUCCAUAUGAUUCUUUAAUAAUGGAUACCUGCAACUAUGCAUUUGUCAAAACACACAGAAUUUUACAGCAAAAUGGUAAAUCAAACUCUAUUCAAAUUAAAUUAAAAUAUUCAGGAUGUGGAGUAUCCCAGCACAGAAUACAUCAUGUGAAAAAGAAUUUAACUAUGCUACAAAUUACUAAGGUUUGGAUGUGGUUUGUCCCUGCAAAAUCUCAUGUUGAAAUUUGACCCCCAAUGUGGCAGUGUGGGGAGGUGGGGCCUAGUGGAAGGUGUUUGGGUCAUGGGAUGGAUCCUUCAUGAAUAGAUUAUUGUCCUCCACAGAGGUGAGUGAGUUCUGCUUUCACAGGAAUGGAUUAAUUCCUGCAAGAGUAGGUAGUUAAAAAGAGUCUGACUUCCUUGGCUUCCCUGUUGCUUUUGCUCUUGCUAUGUGAUCCCUGGUGCACUCCCUUGUUCCCCUUCCACUUUCCACCAUGAGGUGAAAAAGACUGAGGCCCCACCAGAUGCCUCUGCCCAAUCUUGGACAUUCCGACCACCAGUAUUGUGAGCCAAAUGAACGUUUUUUACUUAUAAAUUACCCAGCCUCAGGUAUUCUGUUACAGAAGCACAAAAUGGGCUUAUUUAAAACAUUGUUAUAUUUUUGAACACUUCCUUGUUUAAUUAUUUAUACCAUGAAUUACUAGUAAUUUACACUGUUAAAUAGUCCUGUCUUUUAAAUAAGAGCAUUUAUGACACAAAAAAUUAAACAAUACAGACUGAUAUAUAAAUCAAAACAAAUGCUCUUUACAUGUUUUAUGUUACAGUAGUAACACAUGUGUGUAAACUUAUUUAUCACAUUUUUUUCUUGUGCUGUGGUUGUGGUUCAUUCUCUAAAAUGCUGUUCACCUUAGAACAGGAAAAAAAUAAUCUUACAGACUCUCUUUCAAUUCAUGGCUAAAUAUUUUCAGAAGAGUGAUGUAAAAAUAUGUUCCAAUGGCAAAUUGAUUCAUUGUGACUGGAUCACUUAUUCAAAAGACCUCUUGUCUUUAUUUUGUUAUCAUGCCUACCUUUUACCCAUAAUACAACAGAAUCAAAUAUUGGCCACUGGGAAAAAAUAUUCAAAGAAAGAAAGAAUGUGAACAGAACUUGUGACCAUUAUGAUUCAAUGUUUCACCACAAUGCUUUCUAAAACAGAAGAGUGUAAAAGGAUAUUCAAAGUCAAUUUCCUCAGCAAGGCUUUGCAGAAAAUGAGGAAACUAGAGAAACAAAAAUGGCAGGACAUUCUACAGGUGAUUUUAGAUGUUGCUAUGUUAAAAUAUUUUAGCUUUUAAAGAAUCACAAAGAAUUAUUAGAAACCCAAACUUCGGAAUGUUUCCAAAUUUAGUUGAACUUCAGUGUAAUUGUGUGUAUAUAGCUAGUCAUGAAAUUGAUGUUUUUUAAAAAAUCUGUGCCUUAUUUUAGUAAUAAAAUACACAAUGAAUAAUUAAUGCUCAUAGGAAACCAUGUUAGACCUUACGAAAGAAAAAUCAAUCUUGGGGUCCCAAAAUCACUAAGCUAAAGGGAAAAGUCAAGCUGGGAACUGCUGAGGGCAAACCUGCCUCCCAUUCUAUCCAAAGCCACCUGUCUGCUCAUAAAUGCAUAUCUGAUUGCCUCAUUUGGAGAGGGUAAUCCGCAGCUCAAAAGAAUGAAACCAUUGGUCUCUUUUCUACCUAUGACCUGGAAGCACCCUGUUUGGCCUUCUCUUCAAGUUGUCUCACCUUUCUGGACUGAACCAACGUACAUCUUUCACGUAUUGAUUGAUGUCUCAUGUCACCCUAGAAUAUAUAAAACCAAGCCGUGCCCCAACCACCUUGGGCACAUGUUGUCAGGACCUCCUGAGGAUGCAUCACAGGCAUGCAUCCUCCAACUUGGCAAAAUAAACUUUCUAAAAAAUCUGAGACCUGGCCGGGCAUGGUGGCUCAUGCCUUUAAAUCCCAGCACUUUGGGAGGCCAAGGCAGGCGGAUCACCUGAGGUCGGGAGUUCGAGACCAGCCUGACCAACAUGGAGAAACCCUGUCUGUACUAAAAAUACAAAAAUUUGCCGGGUGUGGUGGCACAUGCCUUUAAUCCCAGCUACUGGGGAAGCUGAGGUAGGAGAAUUACUUGAAACCAGGAGGCAGAGGUUGCAGUGAGCCAAGAUCGCACCAAUGCACUCCAGUUUCGGUGAAGAAGCGAUACUCUGUCUCAAAAAAAAAAAAAAAAAAAGAAAAGAAAAAAAAGAGAAAGAAAAGAAAAAGAAAAUCAUAAUUGUGAAGAAUAUAAUUUCUAUUCCUUUGUAUGUUGGAUGUAAGUAUUCAAAACACAACUAAAGUGUUAAAGUCUUCUGUGGGUUUCUCCAAAGCACCUCUUUCUUUUCUCUGUUUCUCUUUCUUUCUCCUUCUUUCCUUCCUUCCUCCCUUUGCUUCCCUUCCUUUUUCUUCCCUUUCCUUUUCCUUUUCCUUCCUUCCUUCUUUCCUUCCUUCCUUUCUUCCUUUCUUCCUUUCUUUAUUUGAGACAGGUUCUCACUCUCUUGCCUAGGCUGGAGCGUCAUGGUACAAUCAUAGCUCACUGCAGGUUGGUACUUCUGUGCUCAGGCAAUCCUCCCACUUCUGCUUCUUGAGUAGCUGGGAUUAAACGCUCCUGUCACCAUGCUCUGCUAAUUUUUUUUCUGCAGAGACAGGGUCUCUCCAUGUUGUCCAGGCUGCUCUGAAACUUCUGGGCUCAAGCGAUCCUCCCACCUUAGCCUCUGGUGGGAUCCAGGACCCCUCUUAAGGAGGCCUGACCCUAGCCACCAUCCCUCCUUGGCAGAGCCUUCACAGGAUGUGAGAUCACUCAGGCCAGCACACUUGCAUGAGUGCAGCUUCAGUUGGGAACUGAGUUUGGUCAGAAAGUCAAAGUGUUUGGUUCCUUUGUUGCUUUUAGCUCAAGUAGUCCCUGGGCUAUUUGCCCACUGUUGUUACCUCUGCCUGCCACACAUUAAGGACCCCAGAGCCACAUUGAUGAAUAAGCUGAGAGUGUGUUUUGUGGUGGAUGAUGGGGUAUUUGCUUUAUUGGAAACUUCCCAGUUUUGUACUGUCCAUUAUGGGCACUCUGGGAUAAAUCCUGGAGAUCCCUAAGGGCCCCAGCAAUGGAAAAUGCUCUGCUGAACCAUGGGACCUGGACAGUUUAUUAACAUCUUCCACCUAAGUGCCCUCAGCUCUAAAUGAAUGCACUAAUACCCCGUAUACUUCAUGGGAUUUACAAUGUUUGUCCCCUGCCACAGCUGGUACUGCUGCAGUAGAUUUAUGCUGCACAAAUGCUGUGAGCCUUCUGCCUGGGGAACCCCCGCAAAAGGUCCCAACAGGAGUCUGUGGACCAUUGCCAGCAGGGACGAUAGGAUUACUUCUAGUAAGGUCUAGUUUAAAUUUAAAAGGGAUACAAGUACGAACAGGAGUCAUUGAUUCAGAUUACAAUGUGGAAAUUCAAAUUGUUAUAUCCACUUCUGUUCCCUGGAAAGCAGAGCCAGGAGAGCUUAUAGCACAGCUCCUGAUUGUGCCGUAUGUGGAAAUACGGAAAAGUUAAAUUAAACGAACAGGAGGAUUUGAAAGCACAAAUAAACAAGGCAAAGAAGCUUAUUGGGUAAAUCAAAUUACUGAUAAACAUCUUACCUGUGAAAUAACUAUUCAGGGAAAGAAAUUUAAAGGUUUGGUAGAUACAGGAGCAGACAUUUCAAUCAUUUCUCUACAGCACUGGCUGUUUGCGUGGCCAAUUCAACCCGCUCAAUUUAACAUAGUUGGAGUUGGUAAAGCCCCUGAAGUAUAUCAAAGUAGUUAUAUUUUGCAUUGUGAAGGCCCGAUGGACAACCUGGGACUAUUCAACCAAUUAUAACUUCUGUACCUACAAAUUUAUGGGGAAGAGAUUUAUUACAACAAUGGGGAGCACAAGUUCUAUUUCCAGAACAAUUAUAUAGCCCUCAAAGUCAACAUAUGAUGCAUGAAAUGGGGCAUGUCCCUGGUGUGGGACUAGGAAAAAAAAUUGCAAGGUUUAAAGGAACCGCUUCAAGCAGAAAGACAAAGUUUCCGCCAAGGUUUAGGAUAUCAUUUUUAAUGGCGGCCACUGUUAAGCCUCCAGAACCUAUACCUUUAAAAUGCUUAACAGAUAAGCCAAUUUGGAUAGAACAAUGGCCGCUAAGUAAAGAGAAACUGGAGGCUUUAGAGGAACUAGUUACUGAACAAUCAGAAAAUAGGCACAUAGCGCCAGCAUUUUCCCCUUGGAAUUCUCCAGUUUUCAUAAUUAAGAAAAAAUCGGGUAAAUGGAGAAUGUUAACUGACUUAAUACCUAUCAAUUCAGUUAUACAACCUAUGGGAGCAUUACAGCCUCCUGGAUUGCCUUCUCCUGCUAUAAUUCCAAAAAAUUGGCCUUUAAUUGUCACAGAUUUAAAGGACUGUUUCUUUACUAUCACUUUAGCUAAGCAAGACUGUGAAUGGUUUACAUUUACAAUUCCUGCAGUAAACAACCUGCAGCCUGCUAAGCAUUUUCAUUGUUUCACAGAUGGGUCUAGUAAUGGUAAAGCUUCUUAUUCUGGCUCAAAAGUUAAAGUUUUCCAGACACCCUGUACUUCAGCUCUAACAGCAGAGCUUGUAGCUGUAAUUGAGGUAUUGACUGCUUUUAAUAUGUCUAUUAAUAUGAUUUCUGAUUCUUCAUCCGUGGUUCAUUCCACACAGUUAAUUGAAAAUGCUCAGUUACAAUUUCAAACAGAUGACACUAAUGACUUUAUUUACACAGUUGCAAAUAGCAGUUAGGAGUAGAAUGCACACUUUUUACAUCACUCACAUUAGGGCUCAUACACCUCUUCCAGGACCUUUGACUGAAGGGAAUCAAAUGGCUGAUCACUUAGUUGCUAAAGCAAUAUCUACUGCUAGACAUUUUCACAAUUUAACCCAUGUUAAUGCCUCUGGUCUGAAACACAGAUACAGCAUUACCUGGAAAGAAGCUAAAGCUAUUAUCCAGUGAUGCCCAACUUGCCAAAUGGUGCAUUGCUCAUCUUUUGCAGCAGGAGUUAAUCCCCAAGGAUUGGAACCUAAUUAUCUUUGGCAAAUGGAUGUCACACGUUACAUGUAUGUGUGCACACCUUUUCUCACUUUGCAUAACAAAAGGUUGGGAAAUAGGUAAAAUAAUAACUUGGGGUAGAGGUUAUGCUUCUGUUUCUCCAGGCCAAAAUCAAGAGCUGAUUUGGAUACCAUCAAGAUACCUGAAACCUUAUCAUGAGCCAGAUGCUGAGGAAGAGAUUCCAGGAGGAUCCUGAGGACCCCCUGGUUGCAGCCAUCUCGAGACUGAUGCUGAGGAGGACCCCAACUGUCACGAACAACACCCAUCGAACACAGCCACCCACUUGGGGACAGAUCAAGAAGCUGUCACAGAUGGCAGAAGAAAACCUGAGGAAAGCAGGACAACCAGUCACAUCUGCAGAUGUGGAUCCUGACUCCUGCAAGAAGUAGCUCACCGUGACAAAGCUGCCUUUACUUUUAUCACUUUGCAAAUCAAAGAAGGGGGACACGUUGGGACUAGGCCCCCAAAAUCUGGCCAUAAAUUGGCCCCAAAACUGGCCAUAAACAAAAUCUCUGCAGCACUGUGACAUGUUUGUGAUGGUCAUGACGCCCAUGCUGGAAGAUUGUGGGUUUACCGGAAUGAGGGCAAGGAACACCUGGACCACCCAGGGCGGAAAACCACUUAAAGGUGUUCUUAAACCACAAAAAAUAGCAUGAGCGAUCUGUCCCUUAAGGACAUGCUCCUGCUGCAGAUAACUAGCCAGACCCAUCCCUUUAUUUUGGCCCAUCCCUUUGUUUCCCGUAAGGAAUACUUUUAGUUAAUCUAUAAUCUAUAGACACAAUGCUCAUCACUGGCUUGCUGUCAAUAAAUAUGUGGGUAAAUCUGUUUGAGGCUUUCAGCUCUGAAGGCUGUGAGACCCAUGAUUUCCCACUCCACACCUCUAUAA